UUCCGGUUGAUCCCGCCGGAGGCCACUGCUAUCGGAGUCCUUUAGCCAUGCUAGUCGUCCGGGCUUCGCGCUCGGGGCGGAUAGCUGAGUAACACGUGGCUAACCUACCCCGCGGAGGGUGAUAACCUCGCUAACGUGAGGCUAAUAACCCAUAGGAAACCGUCGCUGGAAAGCCCGGUUUCUGAAACGUUCCGGCGCCGCAGGAUGGGGCCGCGGCUGAUUAGGUCGUUGGUGAGGUAAUGGCUCACCAAGCCUAUAAUCAGUAGCAGCCGUGGGAGCGGUAGCUGCCAGUCGGCUUCUGAGACAAGAAGCCGGACCCUACGGGGUGCAGCAGGCACUAACUCUUCACAAUGCACGCAAGUGCGAUGGGGGGACUCCGAGUGCGUUCUUCCCACAAGGAAGGGCGCUUUUCUGCACUGUAAGGAGGUGCUGGAACAAGGGGCGGGCAAUACUGCUGCCAGCCGCCGCGGUAAUAGCAGAACCCCGAGUGGUGGUCGGUAUUAUUGGGCUUAAAGCGUUCGUAGCCGGCCGUGAAAGUCCGCUGUGAAAUCCAGGCGCUUAACGUCUGGGCGUGCAGCGGAUACUUCACGGCUAGGGACCGGAUGGCGUCGAGGCUAUUCCAGGGGUAGGAGUGAAAUCCUAAAAUCCCUGGAGGAGCACCUGUGGCGAAAGCGCUCGACGAAUACGGAUCCGACGGUGAGGAACGAAAGCCAGGGGAGCAAAGCGGAUUAGAUACCCGCGUAGUCCUGGCCGUAAACAAUGCCUGUUUGAUGUCGGACAACCCUCGUGGUUGUCCGGUGCCGAAGGGAAACCGUUAAACAGGCCGCCUGGGGAGUACGGUCGCAAGGAUGAAACUUAAAGGAAUUGGCGGG
rnacentral:rRNA from 1 species